rnacentral:misc_RNA from 1 species
AAAGUCGUAACAAGGUCUCCGUAGGUGAACCUGCGGAGGGAUCAUUCACAUGAUUACCUUUUCAACAAACUGUGAACUUUAUUUACUAUUCGUGUGUGUAUAACUUCUCGGUUAUAUAUCACACUGUCAUUCGAUGAACAUUAGAUAACUGGCUUGAAGCACUUGUGCUUCUUUCUCAGUUGAUUGUUUGUAUUGACUAAACAUCUUACAACAAUCGCCAUAAAACAUAGAAACAACUCUAUGCCCUGGAUAUCUUGGUUCUC